UACGGAAGGUCCGGGCGUUAUCCGGAUUUAUUGGGUUUAAAGGGAGCGUAGGCCGGAGAUUAAGCGUGUUGUGAAAUGUAGAUGCUCAACAUCUGCACUGCAGCGCGAACUGGUUUCCUUGAGUACGCACAAAGUGGGCGGAAUUCGUGGUGUAGCGGUGAAAUGCUUAGAUAUCACGAAGAACUCCGAUUGCGAAGGCAGCUCACUGGAGCGCAACUGACGCUGAAGCUCGAAAGUGCGGGGAUCGAACAGG
rnacentral:rRNA from 1 species